AAUUAUUAAAGGGAAAAAACAGCCCACCAGAUGCUAUGCAGAUUAUUAGUUUUCACGAAAAUUGAACUGUGUGGGAAAAAUCUGCUUCUCAAAUACCUGUUGCAGUCAUGUCAACCAUUCAUAGUAUCCCCAAAUCAAAAAACUAGAGCUAUGAUCAGUUGUGUCGGUACUAAAGUGACCUAAUACUAUACUGCUGUACAUUGUCAUUUCGAGAGUGGCGUAUGAGGUAUCUGACGGCUAAAAUUUGCGGUUGCCAUUGCUACGUAAAAGACACUGCAUACAAUCAAGAGCCGUUGAGGUUGUUACUGUCAAUUUGGUCAUUCAGUUCCCCAAAACUUGCAGCUGAAACAUCAUCACUGUUGGUGAAAGAAAAGCUCCAUAUGGAGACACAAUUUUCAUCAC
rnacentral:lncRNA from 1 species